rnacentral:misc_RNA from 1 species
GAUGAAGAACGUAGCGAAAUGCGAUACCUGGUGUGAAUUGCAGAAUCCCGCGAACCAUCGAGUCUUUGAACGCAAGUUGCGCCCGAGGCCACUCGGCCGAGGGCACGCCUGCCUGGGCGUCACGCCAAAACACGCUCCCAACCCCCCUCAUCGGGAAUAGGGAUGCGGCAUAUGGUCCCUCGUCUCGCAAGGGGCGGUGGGCCGAAGAUCGGGCUGCCGGCGGACCGCGCCGGACACAGCGCAUGGUGGGCGUCCUCGCUUUAUCAACGCAGUGCAUCCGACGCGUAGCCGGCGUGAUGGCCUCAAAACGACCUAGCAAACGAAGCGCACGUCGCUUCGACCGCGACCCCAGGUCAGGCGGGACUACCCGCUGAGUUUAAGCAUAUCAAUAAGCGGAGGA